UACAGAGGUCUCAAGCGUUGUUCGGAUUCAUUGGGCGUAAAGGGUGCGUAGGCGGCGCGGUAAGUCGGGUGUGAAAUCUUGGAGCUUAACUCCGAAACUGCAUUCGAUACUGCCGUGCUUGAGGACUGGAGAGGAGACUGGAAUUUACGGUGUAGCGGUGAAAUGCGUAGAUAUCGUUUAGAACGCCAAUGGUGAAAACAGGUUGCUGGGAGUGUGCUGACGCUGAGACACGAAAGCCAGGGGAGCAAACGGG
rnacentral:rRNA from 1 species